rnacentral:rRNA from 1 species
UGAGGAAUAUUGGUCAAUGGACGAGAGUCUGAACCAGCCAAGUAGCGUGCAGGAUGACGGCCCUAUGGGUUGUAAACUGCUUUUAUAAGGGAAUAAAGUGGGAGUCGUGACUCCUUUUGCAUGUACCUUAUGAAUAAGGACCGGCUAAUUCCGUGCCAGCAGCCGCGGUAAUACGGAAGGUCCGGGCGUUAUCCGGAUUUAUUGGGUUUAAAGGGAGCGUAGGCCGGAGAUUAAGCGUGUUGUGAAUUGUAGAUGCUCAACAUCUGCACUGCAGCGCGAACUGGUUUCCUUGAGUACACACAAAGUGGGCGGAAUUCGUGGUGUAGCGGUGAAAUGCUUAGAUAUCACGAAAAACUCCGAUUGCGAAGGCAGCUCACUGGAGC